UGAUCUACAGAUGCCUUGACCAUUGU
rnacentral:piRNA from 1 species